rnacentral:rRNA from 1 species
CCAGAGAUGGAUUGUGCCUUCGGGAACUGUGAGACAGGUGCUGCAUGGCUGUCGUCAGCUCGUGUUGUGAAAUGUUGGUUAAGUCCCGCAACGAGCGCAACCCUUAUCCUUUGUUGCCAGCGGUUCGGCCGGGAACUCAAAGGAGACUGCCAGUGAUAAACUGGAGGAAGGUGGGGAUGACGUCAAGUCAUCAUGGCCCUUACGAGUAGGGCUACACACGUGCUACAAUGGCAUAUACAAAGAGAAGCGACCUCGCGAGAGCAAGCGGACCUCAUAAAGUAUGUCGUAGUCCGGAUUGGAGUCUGCAACUCGACUCCAUGAAGUCGGAAUCGCUAGUAAUCGUAGAUCAGAAUGCUACGGUGAAUACGUUCCCGGGCCUU